UACGGAGGGUGCAAGCGUUAUCCGGAUUCACUGGGUUUAAAGGGUGCGUAGGUGGGCAGUUAAGUCAGUGGUGAAAUCUCCGGGCUUAACCCGGAAACUGCCAUUGAUACUAUCAGUCUUGAAUACCGUGGAGGUGAGCGGAAUAUGUCAUGUAGCGGUGAAAUGCUUAGAUAUGACAUAGAACACCAAUUGCGAAGGCAGCUCACUACCCGAAUAUUGACACUGAGGCACGAAAGCGUGGGGAUCAAACAGG
rnacentral:rRNA from 1 species